rnacentral:rRNA from 1 species
GAGUUUGAUCAUGGCUCAGAGUGAACGCUGGCGGCGUGCUUAACACAUGCAAGUCGAACGGAUGAAAUAAGCUUGCUUAUUUUGUUAGUGGCGCACGGGUGAGUAAUGUAUAGCUAACCUGCCCUUUAGUGGGGGACAACAGUUGGAAACGACUGCUAAUACCCUAUACUCCUUCUUAUCUCAAGAUAAGUUGGGAAAGAUUUAUCGCUAAAGGAUGGGGCUUUAUUGUAUCAGCUAGUUGGUGGGGUAAUGGCCUACCAAGGCUAUGACGCAUACCUGGUCUGAGAGGAUGAUCAGGCACACUGGAACUGAGACACGGUCCAGACUCCUACGGGAGGCAGCAGUGGGGAAUAUUGCACAAUGGAGGAAACUCUGAUGCAGCAACGCCGCGUGGAGGAUGACGCAUUUCGGUGUGUAAACUCCUUUUAUAAGGGAAGAUAAUGACGGUACCUUAUGAAUAAGCACCGGCUAACUCCGUGCCAGCAGCCGCGGUCA